AUACGAGAUUUCUGCCUGUCUCGUGGGCUCGGAGAUGUGUAUAAGAGACAGGGUAAAGGAUGUGGGAUUGCACAGACAACCAGGAUGUUGGCUUAGAAGCAGCCACUCAUUCAAAGAGUGCGUAAUAGCUCACUGGUCGAGUGAUCCUGCGCCGAAGAUUUCCGGGGCUAAAACUUACUACCGAAGCUACGGCAUCAGUAAUGAUGGGUAGGGGAGCUUCCCAUACGGGUUGAAGCAUGACCGUAAGGACAUGUGGACAGUAUGGGAGUGAGAAUGUUGGCAUGAGUAGCGAGAUGUGGGUGAGAAUCCCACAGGCCGUAAACCCAAGGUUUCCAGGGGAAGGUUCGUCCGCCCUGGGUUAGUCGGGACCUAAGCUGAGGCCGAAAGGCGUAGGUGAUGGACAACAGGUUGAUAUUCCUGUACUACCGAUAACCGUUUGAGAGAAGGGAUGACACAGUAGGAUAAGCUAAGCACACUGUUGGUUAUGUGUGCCCAAGCAUUGAGGCAGUCAAAGUAGGCAAAUCCGCUUUGAUAAUGCUGGGAUGUGAUGGGGAGCGAAAUUUAGUAGCGAAGUAGCUGAUUUCACACUGUCAAGAAAAGUCUCUAUCGAGGUUAAAGGUACCCGUACCGCAAACCGACACAGGUGGGUGAGGAGAGUAUCCUAAGGCCAGCGAGAGAACUGUUGUUAAGGAACUCGGCAAAAUGACCCCGUAACUUAGGGAUAAGGGGUGCCACCAUCAGGUGGCCGCAGAGAAUAGGCCCAAGCGACUGUUUACCAAAAACAUAGGUUUCUGCUAAGUCGCAAGACGAUGUAUAGGAGCUGACGCCUGCCCGGUGCUGGAAGGUUAAGGGGAUCUGUUAGAGCAAUCGAAGCAGUGAACUUAAGCCCCAGUAAACGGCGGCCGUAACUAUAACGGUCCUAAGGUAGCGAAAUUCCUUGUCGGGUAAGUUCCGACCCGCACGAAAGGCGUAACGAUUUGGGCACUGUCUCAACAACAGACUCGGUGAAAUUGUAAUUCCGGUGAAGAUGCCGGAUACCUGCGACAGGACGGAAAGACCCCAUGGAGCUUUACUGUAGCUUGACAUUGGGUCUUGGUACUACAUGUACAGGAUAGGUGGGAGGCUUUGAAACCAGGACGCCAGUUUUGGCGGAGCCAUCCUUGGGAUACCACCCUUGUAGUACUGGGACUCUAACCAUAGGCCAUGAAUCUGGUCUUGGGACACUGUCAGGUGGGCAGUUUGACUGGGGCGGUCGCCUCCCAAAAGGUAACGGAGGCGCUCAAAGGUUCUCUCAGUACGGUCGGAAAUCGUACGUAGAGUGUAAAGGCAAAAGAGAGCUUGAUUGCAAGACAUACAGGUCGAGCAAGGAUGAAAAUCGGACUUAGUGAUCCGGUGGUUCUGCGUGGAAGGGCCAUCGCUCAACGGAUAAAAGCUACCCUGGGGAUAACAGGCUUAUCUCCCCCAAGAGUCCACAUCGACGGGGAGGUUUGGCACCUCGAUGUCGGCUCAUCACAUCCUGGGGCUGUAGUAGGUCCCAAGGGUUGGGCUGUUCGCCCAUUAAAGUGGUACGCGAGCUGGGUUCAGAACGUCGUGAGACAGUUCGGUCCCUAUCCGUCGCAGGCGUAGGAAAUUUGAGAAGACCUGUCCUUAGUACGAGAGGACCGGGAUGGACGUACCUCUGGUGUACCAGUUGUCCUGCCAAGGGCAUGGCUGGGUAGCUAUGUACGGAAUGGAUAAGCGCUGAAAGCAUCUAAGCGCGAAGCCAACUUCAAGAUAAGAUUUCCCACCGCAAGGGUAAGACCCCAGAAAGACUAUCUGGUUGAUAGGUCGAAGGUGUAAGUGCAGCAAUGUAUUUAGCUUAUCGAUACUAAUAGGUCGAGGACUUGACCAA
rnacentral:rRNA from 1 species